AAAUUCUUAGUUUAAUUUUUAAAUAUUUAGUUGUGGUCUAAAAGAUCUUAGGAAUUUU
rnacentral:tRNA from 2 species